AUAGGAGCAGUUUAAGUUUGUCCCGUGAGUUGGUUGCUCUCACUCCAACCCAGCUUGACACUAGUUUGUUGCUGCAAUUGUUGAUCUCUAGGUGUUCAUUGAGUUAUUUCUUUGAUUCUUGCUUUCAUUUUGGACCGUGUUGCUCAUAAUCACAGGACCAAGGCUACUCCACCUGCCUCGCCUCCUCCUCCUUCUCCUCCUCUUGCAGUAGUAUCAGUGUCUCUGUCCACCCAGAAGUGGACAUGUAAAGCGACACGGCUACAAUCCUUGGCCACUAGACCACCUGGGGCAAAGAGACCAGUGGUCAACGUUGAUCCUACGACAGGCAAGGCUGAUGGUCCCCACAAGAAGAAAUUAAGAACAUAUUUGCGAAUUGUCACUCGUGAUAAGGUCGACGUCAUAUACGAGACCUGGAAGGAAGUCCCUGCUACCCAGAAGGAUUUGAUUUGGGAGGAUA